AGUUUGAUCCUGGCUCAGGACGAACGCUGGCGGCGUGCCUAAUGCAUGCAAGUCGCACGCACGGAGCUUGCUCCGUGAGUGGCGCACGGCUGAGGAACACGUGGGCACCUGCCCCGCCGUGGGGGAUAACAGCGCGAAAGCGCUGCUAAUCCCGCAUACGCUUGACCGUUCGGUCAAGGAAAGUCGCAAGGCGCGGCGGGAGGGGCCUGCGGCCCAUCAGGUAGUUGGUGCGGUAACGGCGCACCAAGCCGAUGACGGGUAGCUGGUCUGUGAGGACAACCAGCCAGACUGGGACUGAGACACGGCCCAGACUCCUACGGGAGGCAGCAGCAAGGAAUUUUCCCCAAUGGGCGCAAGCCUGAGGGAGCAACGCCGCGUGCGGGAUGACGGCCUUCGGGUUGUAAACCGCUUUUGGAGGGGAAGAAACAGACGGUACCCUCCGAAUAAGCCUCGGCUAACUCUGUGCCAGCAGCCGCGGUAAGACAGAGGAGGCAAGCGUUGUCCGGACUGACUGGGCGUAAAGCGCGCGCAGGCGGAUAUGGGCGUCGGUGCUGAAAGACCACCGCUUAACGGUGGCUCGCGUGCCGAUACGCCAUAUCUGGAGGGCGGGCGAGGGCGGUGGAAUUGCCGGUGUAGUGGUGAAAUGCGUAGAGAUCGGCAGGAACACCCGUGGCGGAAGCGGCCGCCUAGCCCGCACCUGACGCUGAGGCGCGACAGCGUGGGGAGCGAACGGGAUUAGAUACCCCGGUAGUCCACGCCGUAAACGAUGCCGACUCGGUGUCCGUGGGGCGAAUAGCCCUGGGGGCGCCCAAGCUCACGCGGUAAGUCGGCCGCCUGGGGACUACGAGCGCAAGCUUAAAACUCAAAGGAAUUGACGG
rnacentral:rRNA from 1 species